AUUGAACGCUGGCGGCAUGCCUUACACAUGCAAGUCGAACGGCAGCACGGGGGCAACCCUGGUGGCGAGUGGCGAACGGGUGAGUAAUGCAUCGGAACGUGCCCUCUUGUGGGGGAUAACCAGUCGAAAGAUUGGCUAAUACCGCAUGAGAUCGCAAGAUGAAAGCGGGGGACCGCAAGGCCUCGCGCGAGAGGAGCGGCCGAUGCCGGAUUAGCUAGUUGGUGGGGUAAAAGCCUACCAAGGCGCCAAUCCGUAGCUGGUCUGAGAGGACGACCAGCCACACUGGGACUGAGACACGGCCCAGACUCCUACGGGAGGCAGCAGUGGGGAAUUUUGGACAAUGGGCGCAAGCCUGAUCCAGCCAUGCCGCGUGUGUGAAGAAGGCCUUCGGGUUGUAAAGCACUUUCGGACGGAACGAAAUCGCGCGGACGAACAUUCCGCGUGGAUGACGGUACCGUAAGAAGAAGCACCGGCUAACUACGUGCCAGCAGCCGCCGUAAGAC
rnacentral:rRNA from 1 species